rnacentral:rRNA from 1 species
UACUCCCCAGGCGGAGUGCUUAAUGCGUUAGCUGCAGCACUAAGGGGCGGAAACCCCCUAACACUUAGCACUCAUCGUUUACGGCGUGGACUACCAGGGUAUCUAAUCCUGUUUGAUCCCCACGCUUUCGCACAUCAGCGUCAGUUACAGACCAGAAAGUCGCCUUCGCCACUGGUGUUCCUCCAUAUCUCUGCGCAUUUCACCGCUACACAUGGAAUUCCACUUUCCUCUUCUGCACUCAAGUUUUCCAGUUUCCAAUGACCCUCCACGGUUGAGCCGUGGGCUUUCACAUCAGACUUAAAAAACCGCCUACGCGCGCUUUACGCCCAAUAAUUCCGGAUAACGCUUGCCACCUACGUAUUACCGCGGCUGCUGGCACGUAGUUAGCCGUGGCUUUCUGAUUAGGUACCGUCAAGAUGUGCACGGUUACUUACACAUAUGUUCUUCCCUAAUAACAGAGUUUUACGAUCCGAAGACCUUCAUCACUCACGCGGCGUUGCUCCGUCAGGCUUUCGCCCAUUGCGGAAGAUUCCCUACUGCUGCCU